AGAGUUUGAUCCUGGCUCAGAACGAACGCUUGCGGCGCGCCUAAUACAUGCAAGUCGAACGAGGUAGCAAUACCUAGUGGCGCACGGGUGAGUAACACGUGGAUAAUCUGCCCUUCAGUGGGGGAUAACCAUCCGAAAGGAUGGCUAAUACCGCAUGAGACCACAGUCCCUGUGGGGACAGAGGUUAAAGAUUUAUCGCU
rnacentral:rRNA from 1 species